rnacentral:rRNA from 1 species
AUUCCAGCUCCAAUAGCGUAUAUUAAAGUUGUUGCGGUUAAAAAGCUCGUAGUUGGAUCUCGGGUCCAGGCUUGCGGUCCGCCUCGCGGCGGUCACUGCUCGUCCUGGCCUACCUGCCGGUGUGUCCCUUGGUGCUCUUGACUGAGUGUCUCGGGCGGCCGGAACGUUUACUUUGAAAAAAUUAGAGUGUUCAAAGCAGGCUUGUCGCCUGAAUAAUGGUGCAUGGAAUGAUGGAAUAGGACCUCGGUUCUAUUUUGUUGGUUUUCGGAGCUCGAGGUAAUGAUUAAGAGGGACUGACGGGGGCAUUCGUAUUGCGGUGUUAGAGGUGAAAUUCUUGGAUCGCCGCAAGACGAACUACAGCGAAAGCAUUUGCCAAGCAUGUUUUCAUCA